UGGGGAAUAUUGGGCAAUGGGGGAAACCCUGACCCAGCAACGCCGCGUGAAGGAAGAAGGCCUUCGGGUUGUAAACUUCUUUUACCAGGGACGAAGGACGUGACGGUACCUGGAGAAAAAGACAACGGCUAACUACGUGCCAGCAGCCGCGGUAAUACGUAGGUUGCAAGCGUUGUCCGGAUUUACUGGGUGUAAAGGGAGCGUAGACGGCAAAGCAAGUCUGAAGUGAAAGCCCCGGGCUCAACCCGGGAACUGCUUUGGAAACUGUUUAGCUAGAGUGCAGGAGAGGUAAGUGGAAUUCCUAGUGUAGCGGUGAAAUGCGUAGAUAUUAGGAGGAACACCAGUGGCGAAGGCGGCUUACUGGACUGUAACUGACGUUGAGGCUCGAAAGCGUGGGGAGCAAACAGGAUUAGAUACCCUGGUAGU
rnacentral:rRNA from 1 species